rfam:Schistocephalus solidus strain NST_G2 genome assembly, scaffold: SSLN_scaffold0005033
GGCCUCGUAGCUCAGUUGGCCAGAGCAUUGGCUGUACUAAAGUCUUCCUCUUGCUGACGUGGGUUCAAAUCCCACUGAGGCCA